CCUACGGGGGGCAGCAGUGGGGAAUAUUGGACAAUGGGGGGAACCCUGAUCCAGCCAUGCCUCGUGUGUGAAGAAGGCCCUCGGGUUGUAAAGCACUUUCAGUGAGGAAGAACGCCUGGUGGUUAAUACCCAUCAGGAAAGACAUCACUCACAGAAGAAGCACCGGCUAACUCCGUGCCAGCAGCCGCGGUAAUACGGAGGGUGCGAGCGUUAAUCGGAAUUACUGGGCGUAAAGCGCGCGUAGGUGGCUUGAUAAGCCGGUUGUGAAAGCCCCGGGCUCAACCUGGGAACGGCAUCCGGAACUGUCAAGCUAGAGUGCAGGAGAGGAAGGUAGAAUUCCCGGUGUAGCGGUGAAAUGCGUAGAGAUCGGGAGGAAUACCAGUGGCGAAGGCGGCCUUCUGGACUGACACUGACACUGAGGUGCGAAAGCGUGGGUAGCAAACAGGAUUAGAUACCCGAGUAGUC
rnacentral:rRNA from 1 species